AUGAAACAUUAGGAGCAUUUCUCUUUCUAGGCAUAUCUGCAUAAAAUGAAUCGGAACAGUAAGGAUGGAAGAAAAGGAUACAAGAUGCAACAAUUCAUCUUCUAUUUUGGAGGGCAUUCUGAACGUGUCCUUGACAACUGAGGCCCUAAACCCUGUACUGAAGUAACAGGUCCCUCAACCUCCAGAGUGUUUACCUGCCACCCCGUAGCACAUGUGCCUUGCCAAGGCCUCCAGCAUAGCAGCCACCUCUCGCUCACCACGGCACGCUGUCAUUGAUGUAAUGGAUCAACGUGAUGUUCUACAGGACGUCCAGGUGAAGCCAAAGCUCUCUGACGCAUUCAGCUCCUGGAAAAACUGUGAAUGUGUGUUAGUGUCCAUAAAAGGAGAAUACGAAUGGUUUCCGAGCCUCUUCCCUGACUGAGAUAGAAUACAGCCACCGAAUCAAUGACGUAUUCACCUUCUGCGGCGUCAACACCACAUCCUGGGCAGCAGCUUCAGUGCGACUACUACUUGUCUGAAAUUGCAGUCGUCCAGACUUCCUCUCCGGGUCCACCUGGUCUCUGCAGAAGCCAAACUGGCAAAUUAACUGUGAUUAUAGUUGGAACUGGUACCCUGCAUUUUAGAUCUUGAUGAUACACUACUGUUCCUUACUUCCCCUCA